rnacentral:rRNA from 1 species
GACGAACCGUGCAAACGUUGUUCGGAAUCACUGGGCUUAAAGGGCGCGUAGGCGGGUUCCCAAGUCGGUGGUGAAAUCUUGCGGCUCAACCGUAGAAGUGCCGCCGAUACUGGGAGUCUCGAGGGAGGUAGGGGUCGAGGGAACUUCCGGUGGAGCGGUGAAAUGCGUAGAUAUCGGAAGGAACGCCGGUGGCGAAAGCGCUCGACUGGACCUUUACUGACGCUGAGGCGCGAAAGCCAGGGGAGCAAACGGG